CCUACGGGUGGCUGCAGUCGAGAAUCAUUCACAAUGGGGGAAACCCUGAUGGUGCGACGCCGCGUGGGGGACGAAGGCCCUCGGGUUGUAAACCGCUUUCAGCAGGGAAGAUCCAAGACGGUACCUGCAGAAGAAGCUCCGGCUAACUACGUGCCAGCAGCCGCGGUAAUACGUAGGGGGCGAGCGUUAUCCGGGUUCAUUGGGCGUAAAGCGCGCGUAGGCGGCCGCCUAAGCGGGACCUCUAACCCCGGGGCUCAACCCCGGGCCGGGGCCCGGACUGGGCGGCUCGAGUGCGGUAGAGGAGAGCGGAAUUCCCGGUGUAGCGGUGGAAUGCGCAGAUAUCGGGAAGAACACCGAUGGCGAAGGCAGCUCUCUGGGCCGUCACUGACGCUGAGGCGCGAAAGCUGGGGGAGCGAACAGGAUUAGAUACCCUUGUAGUC
rnacentral:rRNA from 1 species